UGGGGAAUAUUGCGCAAUGGGCGAAAGCCUGACGCAGCUACGCCGCGUGGGUGAUGAAGGUCUUCGGAUCGUAAAGCUCUGUCGGGAGGGAAGAAGUUCUGACGGUACCUCCCAAGAAAGCACCGGCUAACUCCGUGCCAGCAGCCGCGGUAAUACGGAGGGUGCAAGCGUUGCUCGGAAUUACUGGGCGUAAAGCGUACGCAGGCUGCUUGCUAAGUCGGGUGUGAAAUCCCGGGGCUCAACCCCGGAAUUGCGCCCGAAACUGGUGGGCUUGAGUGCGGGAGAGGGAAGCGGAAUUCCUGGUGUAGAGGUGAAAUUCGUAGAUAUCAGGAGGAACACCGGUGGCGAAAGCGGCUUCCUGGCCCGACACUGACGCUCAUGUACGAAAGCGUGGGGCGCAAA
rnacentral:rRNA from 1 species